GCUUCCCAUCUGCCACGAACUAAGCAGCUUUGCUCUGCCACACCUUUCCACCAUGAUGUUCCUGCCUUGGAGCCAUCUGACUAUGGACUAAAUCCCCUGAAACUGGAUUGAACUUGAGUCCUUACGCUUGCGCAGCAGGUGGAGAAACCACUAAGCUAAAUCCUGGCCCUGCAAAUCUCUUUAAUGUCAAUAUUUGUUUGUUUUUGAUGCAAGGAUUGAACCCAGGGCUUUUGCACCAAGUUACACCCCCAGCCUUUUUUUGUUUUUUAACUUUUUGACAGC
rnacentral:lncRNA from 1 species